rnacentral:rRNA from 1 species
GGGAUUGCACAGACAACCAGGAUGUUGGCUUAGAAGCAGCCACUCAUUCAAAGAGUGCGUAAUAGCUCACUGGUCGAGUGAUCCUGCGCCGAAGAUUUCCGGGGCUAAAACUUACUACCGAAGCUACGGCAUCAGUAAUGAUGGGUAGGGGAGCUUCCCAUACGGGUUGAAGCAUGACCGUAAGGACAUGUGGACAGUAUGGGAGUGAGAAUGUUGGCAUGAGUAGCGAGAUGUGGGUGAGAAUCCCACAGGCCGUAAACCCAAGGUUUCCAGGGGAAGGUUCGUCCGCCCUGGGUUAGUCGGGACCUAAGCUGAGGCCGAAAGGCGUAGGUGAUGGACAACAGGUUGAUAUUCCUGUACUACCGAUAACCGUUUGAGAGAAGGGAUGACACAGUAGGAUAAGCUAAGCACACUGUUGGUUAUGUGUGCCCAAGCAUUGAGGCAGUCAAAGUAGGCAAAUCCGCUUUGAUAAUGCUGGGAUGUGAUGGGGAGCGAAAUUUAGUAGCGAAGUAGCUGAUUUCACACUGUCAAGAAAAGUCUCUAUCGAGGUUAAAGGUACCCGUACCGCAAACCGACACAGGUGGGUGAGGAGAGUAUCCUAAGGCCAGCGAGAGAACUGUUGUUAAGGAACUCGGCAAAAUGACCCCGUAACUUAGGGAUAAGGGGUGCCACCAUCAGGUGGCCGCAGAGAAUAGGCCCAAGCGACUGUUUACCAAAAACAUAGGUUUCUGCUAAGUCGCAAGACGAUGUAUAGGAGCUGACGCCUGCCCGGUGCUGGAAGGUUAAGGGGAUCUGUUAGAGCAAUCGAAGCAGUGAACUUAAGCCCCAGUAAACGGCGGCCGUAACUAUAACGGUCCUAAGGUAGCGAAAUUCCUUGUCGGGUAAGUUCCGACCCGCACGAAAGGCGUAACGAUUUGGGCACUGUCUCAACAACAGACUCGGUGAAAUUGUAAUUCCGGUGAAGAUGCCGGAUACCUGCGACAGGACGGAAAGACCCCAUGGAGCUUUACUGUAGCUUGACAUUGGGUCUUGGUACUACAUGUACAGGAUAGGUGGGAGGCUUUGAAACCAGGACGCCAGUUUUGGCGGAGCCAUCCUUGGGAUACCACCCUUGUAGUACUGGGACUCUAACCAUAGGCCAUGAAUCUGGUCUUGGGACACUGUCAGGUGGGCAGUUUGACUGGGGCGGUCGCCUCCCAAAAGGUAACGGAGGCGCUCAAAGGUUCUCUCAGUACGGUCGGAAAUCGUACGUAGAGUGUAAAGGCAAAAGAGAGCUUGAUUGCAAGACAUACAGGUCGAGCAAGGAUGAAAAUCGGACUUAGUGAUCCGGUGGUUCUGCGUGGAAGGGCCAUCGCUCAACGGAUAAAAGCUACCCUGGGGAUAACAGGCUUAUCUCCCCCAAGAGUCCACAUCGACGGGGAGGUUUGGCACCUCGAUGUCGGCUCAUCACAUCCUGGGGCUGUAGUAGGUCCCAAGGGUUGGGCUGUUCGCCCAUUAAAGUGGUACGCGAGCUGGGUUCAGAACGUCGUGAGACAGUUCGGUCCCUAUCCGUCGCAGGCGUAGGAAAUUUGAGAAGACCUGUCCUUAGUACGAGAGGACCGGGAUGGACGUACCUCUGGUGUACCAGUUGUCCUGCCAAGGGCAUGGCUGGGUAGCUAUGUACGGAAUGGAUAAGCGCUGAAAGCAUCUAAGCGCGAAGCCAACUUCAAGAUAAGAUUUCCCACCGCAAGGGUAAGACCCCAGAAAGACUAUCUGGUUGAUAGGUCGAAGGUGUAAGUGCAGCAAUGUAUUUAGCUUAUCGAUACUAAUAGGUCGAGGACUUGACCAA